AUUGAACGCUGGCGGCAUGCUUUACACAUGCAAGUCGAACGGUAACAGGCCGCAAGGUGCUGACGAGUGGCGAACGGGUGAGUAAUGCAUCGGAACGUGCCCAGUCGUGGGGGAUAACUACUCGAAAGAGUAGCUAAUACCGCAUACGAUCUAUGGAUGAAAGCGGGGGACCGUAAGGCCUCGCGCGAUUGGAGCGGCCGAUGUCAGAUUAGGUAGUUGGUGGGGUAAAGGCUCACCAAGCCAACGAUCUGUAGCUGGUCUGAGAGGACGACCAGCCACACUGGGACUGAGACACGGCCCAGACUCCUACGGGAGGCAGCAGUGGGGAAUUUUGGACAAUGGGCGCAAGCCUGAUCCAACAAUGCCGCGUGCAGGAAGAAGGCCUUCGGGUUGUAAACUGCUUUUGUACGGAACGAAACGGCUCUGGUUAAUACCCGGGGCUAAUGACGGUACCGUAAGAAUAAGCACCGGCUAACUACGUG
rnacentral:rRNA from 1 species